GAGGAAUAAGCAUCGGCUAACUUCCCGUGCCAGCAGCCGCGGUAAUACGGGGGAUGCAAGCGUUAUCCGGAAUCAUUGGGCGUAAAGCGCCUGUAGGUUGUUUAAUAAGUCUGUUGUUAAAGACUAGGGCUUAACCCUAGAAAAGCAAUGGAAACUACUAGACUAGAGUAUGGCAGGGGUAGAGGGAAUUUCUAGUGUAGCGGUGAAAUGCGUAGAUAUUAGAAAGAACACCGGUGGCGAAAGCGCUCUACUGGACCAUUACUGACACUCAGAGGCGAAAGCUAGGGUAGCAAAAGGGAUUAGAUACCCCUGUAGUCCUAGCCGUAAACGAUGGAUACUACAUGUUGUGCAUUAUGUACAGUAUGGUAGCUAACGCGUUAAGUAUCCCGCCUGGGGAGUACGCUCGCAAGGGUGAAACUCAAAGGAAUUGACGGGGGCCCGCACAAGCGGUGGAGCAUGUGGUUUAAUUCGAUGCAACGCGAAGAACCUUACCAAGGCUUGACAUACUACAAAUUUUUCUGAGAAGAGAAAGUGCCUUCGGGAAUGUAGAUACAGGUGGUGCAUGGCUGUCGUCAGCUCGUGUCGUGAGAUGUUGGGUUAAGUCCCGCAACGAGCGCAACCCUUGUUUUUAGUUGCCAAUUUAUUGGGUUUUCUAGAAAGACUGCCGGUGACAAACCGGAGGAAGUUGAGGAUGACUGCAAGUCAGCAUGCACCUUAUGCCUUGGGCGACACACGUGCUACAAUGGCUAGGACAAAGAGUUGCGAGCUCGCAAGAGUCAGCUAAUCUCAUAAACUUAGUCUAAGUUCGGAUUGUAGGCUGCAACUCGCCUGCGUGA
rnacentral:rRNA from 1 species